rnacentral:rRNA from 1 species
UACGUAGGGUGCAAGCGUUGUCCGGAAUUAUUGGGCGUAAAGAGCUCGUAGGCGGUCUGUUGCUUCGGCUGUGAAAACCCGGGGCUCAACUCCGGGCCUGCAGCCGAUACGGGCAGACUAGAGUUCGGCAGGGGAGACUGGAAUUCCUGGUGUAGCGGUGAAAUGCGCAGAUAUCAGGAGGAACACCGGUGGCGAAGGCGGGUCUCUGGGCCGAUACUGACGCUGAGGAGCGAAAGCGUGGGGAGCGAACAGG